GACGAACGCUGGCGGCGUGCUUAACACAUGCAAGUCGAACGGUGAUGCUCCAGCUUGCUGGAGUGGAUCAGUGGCGAACGGGUGAGUAACACGUGAGCAACCUGCCCCAGACUCUGGAAUAAGCGCUGGAAACGGCGUCUAAUACUGGAUACGAAACUGGCCCGCAUGGGCAUGGUUUGGAAAGUUUUUCGGUUUGGGAUGGGCUCGCGGCCUAUCAGCUUGUUGGUGAGGUAAUGGCUCACCAAGGCGACGACGGGUAGCCGGCCUGAGAGGGCGACCGGCCACACUGGGACUGAGACACGGCCCAGACUCCUACGGGAGGCAGCAGUGGGGAAUAUUGCACAAUGGGCGAAAGCCUGAUGCAGCGACGCCGCGUGAGGGAUGACGGCCUUCGGGUUGUAAACCUCUUUCAGCAGAGAAGAAGCGAAAGUGACGGUAACUGCAGAAGAAGCACCGGCUAACUACGUG
rnacentral:rRNA from 1 species